GUGGGGAAUUUUGGACAAUGGGCGCAAGCCUGAUCCAGCAAUGCCGCGUGCAGGAAGAAGGCCUUCGGGUUGUAAACUGCUUUUGUACGGAACGAAACGGUCCUGGUUAAUACCUGGGGCUAAUGACGGUACCGUAAGAAUAAGCACCGGCUAACUACGUGCCAGCAGCCGCGGUAAUACGUAGGGUGCGAGCGUUAAUCGGAAUUACUGGGCGUAAAGCGUGCGCAGGCGGUGCUGUAAGACAGGCGUGAAAUCCCCGGGCUCAACCUGGGAAUUGCGCUUGUGACUGCAGUGCUGGAGUACGGCAGAGGGGGAUGGAAUUCCGCGGGUAGCAGUGAAAUGCGUAGAUAUGCGGAGGAACACCGAUGGCGAAGGCAGUCCCCUGGGCCUGUACUGACGCUCAUGCACGAAAGCGUGGGGAGCAAACAGGAUUAGAAACCCCUGUAGUCC
rnacentral:rRNA from 1 species